GAAAGUAAAAAAGGGCGCAUGGCGGAUGCCUUGGCUCUCGGAGGCGAUGAAGGACGUGAUAAGCUGCGAUAAGCUUUGGGGAGGUGCAAAUGACCUUUGAUCCAGAGAUUUCCGAAUGGGACAACCCAAUAUCUUGAAGAGGUAUUAUCCAACGUUGUUGGAGGCUAACGCAGGGAACUGAAACAUCUUAGUACCUGCAGGAAAAGAAAAUAAACAAUGAUUCCCCCAGUAGUGGCGAGCGAACGGGGAACAGCCCAAACCAUCCAUGUUACGGCAUGGGUGGGGUUGUAGGACUACGCCGUUGCAUGAAGACAUCAGAGAAGAACUUUCUGGAAAGAAAGACCAUAGAGCAUGACAGUUGCGUAUUCGAAUGUUGUCGAAGCAUAGUAGUAUCCUGAGUAGCGCGGAGCACGAGGAAUUCUGCGUGAAUCUGCCGGGACCAUCCGGUAAGGCUAAAUACUCCCGAGAGACCGAUAGCGAACCAGUACCGUGAGGGAAAGGUGAAAAGCACUUCGAACAGAAGAGUGAAAUAGUUCCUGAAACCGUGCGCCUACAAGCGGUCGGAGCUCGUUAAUGAGUGACGGCGUGCCUUUUGCAUAAUGAACCUACGAGUUGCCUUUGCCGGCAAGGUUAAGUGUGACGACACACGUAUCCGAAGCGAAAGCGAGUCUGAACAGGGCGUAUAGUCGGCAGUGGCAGACGCGAAACCAAGUGAUCUACCCUUGGCCAGGUUGAAGGCUGGGUAACACCAGCUGGAGGACCGCACCAAUAAGCGUUGAAAAGCUUCUGGAUGAGCUGAGGGUAGGGGUGAAAGGCUAAUCAAACUUGGAGAUAGCUCGUACUCCCCGAAAUGCAUUUAGGUGCAGCCUUGACUUAUACUGGCAUGAGGUAGAGCGACUGAUAAGAUGCGAGGGCUUCACCGCCUAUCAAGUCUUGACAAACUCCGAAUGCGCAUCAGUUCUACCGCAGGAGUGAGGGCAUGGGUGCUAAGGUCCGUGCCCGAGAGGAGAAGAAUCCGGACCACCUGCUAAGGUCCCGAAAUGACAGCUAAGUUAAACUAACGAAGUCUGACUGCUAAGACAGCUAGGAUGUUGGCUUGGAAGCAGCCAUUCAUUUAAAGAGUGCGUAACAGCUCACUAGUCGAGGAGUCGGGCGUGGAUAAUAAUCGGGUAUUAAGUUGUCUACCGAAGCAGUGGGAUCAUUAAUAUGAUCGGUAGGGGAGCAUUCCAGUCAGCGUCGAAGGCGUACCGUGAGGUAUUCUGGAGCGUCUGGAAAAGCAAAUGUAGGUAUAAGUAACGAUAAAGGGGGCGGGAAACCCCCUCGCCGAAAGACUAAGGUUUCCUGAUCAACGCUAAUCGGAUCAGGGUCAGUCGGGUCCUAAGGCUCAGCCGAACGGCGAUGCCGAUGGCAGAAACGGUUAAUAUUCCGUUACUACCUUCAGGAGUGACGUGGAGACGCAGUAGUGACAGUGCCGCCAUCUGACGGAAUAGAUGGUUGAAGGGUGUAGGAGUCGAUCAUGGCAGGCAAAUCCACCAUGAGAUCCGAACCUGACAGUAUGCCGCGUCCUUCGGGACAAGGCAAUAGUGCGCGUAAGCAUGCUGCCGAGAAAAUCCGCUAAACUUAAUCCUGCAGGUACCCGUACCGCAAACGGACACACGUAGUCGGGUUGAAUAUACUAAGGCGCUUGAGUGAUUCACGGUUAAGGAACUAGGCAAACUGACCCUGUAACUUCGGGAUAAAGGGUCCCUACCCUUUUAUGGGAGGGCGCAGAGAAUCGGUCCAGGCAACUGUUUAACAAAAACACAGGGCUGUGCCAAAUCGAAAGAUCCAGUAUACAGCCUGACACCUGCCCGGUGCUGGAAGGUUAAGAGGAGAUGUCAUCGAUAAGAGAAGCGUUGAAUUGAAGCCCCAGUAAACGGCGGCCGUAACUAUAACGGUCCUAAGGUAGCGAAAUUCCUUGUC
rnacentral:rRNA from 1 species